UGGACACCUGAACUCCAUGAUAAAUUCAUAGAAGCAGUUAAUCAACUUGGCGGAGUAGACAAGGCAACACCAAAAGCAGUCAUGAGACUCAUGGGCAUUCCUGGACUGACAGUGUAUCACCUAAAAAGCCAUCUUCAGGUCCUGACUAACUAAUUCCUUAAUUCUUCUUCCUUAACUUUUCUUUAUUCAUUUUUAUAUUUGAAGACUAUGCUUCUCUUGUUGAAUUGCAGAAGUACAGACUCAGCAAAAAUCUUCAACCUCAAGCAAACAUGGGAAGUACUAAGAGUGGUAAGAGCAAAUCCAAAUUUAUCAAACAUAAUGAGCUUGCAAGCUAAUACAUAAUGCUGCAGUUGUAGGUUGUCAGCUAGCAGCAGAAAUGACAGAUGAAGGUAAUAAUAAUAUAUCAGCCGUUACCAAUACAAAUAUUGUUCCCCAGCCUAAGUAAGAGAACAUCAACACUCAUUUAAUCUGAUGAUAAUAAUAAUAAAAAAUCUACAACUAAAAGAGCGCCAUUUCAGACCUAUUCAGAUAAAUGAAGCACUUCAAAUACAAAUUGAGGUACAAAGACAGCUACAAGAACAACUGGAGGUAAAUUUUAGUCAACACGUAGUGUUAAGAUUAGAUCCAUGAUACCUUAUUUGAGUUGAUAAGAAUUUAACAGAAAAAAGAAAUGUUCUAUUACAAAUGGAGUCUCACUCGUGUUCUAUAAAAUAAAAAUAAAAAAGAAUUAAACUGGGUUUGCAUCUUAGAAUUGAUAUACUAUGCGGUUACUCAGGUGUUUUUUAAAGUUAAAACAUUUUUAUGCGUUAAGUUUUCAUUGACAAGUGGAGAGUGAACCAGAUCUUAGACUUUGCUACCUUUUAAUCUUACCUAGAGCGCACUCUAGAUUUGAAACAGGGAUGCAAUUGGGAUGAUAGAUGGUUGAGCUUAGUUACCUUGUUUUUUAGUGAAUAUUUGUAAGAGGAUCUAGCUCCAAGCUGUCUUGCAUGGAUAUCUCCAUGUAGGAGAGCCACUAUAAAACAUGAAUGUAAAGUUGCAUCUUAUAGAUAAUAUCAUAUUGUCUUUUAGAAGAAAAAAAAAUCCUUUGCCUCAUAGGACUGAGCUACAAAAGUUGUCCUUGCAUGUAAAGUAGCAUCUUAUUGAUAAUGUCACAUUAUCUUUUAGAAGGAAAAAAUUAUUCCUUUCCCUUGUAGGAAUGAGCUACAAAAGUUGUUUUCGGUGAGAAAUUUAGUUGUCACCAUUGGAAUGUCCAUUAUGAAUGAAUCCACAUAAUGUACAUUAGAGGACAAGUAAUCACUUUAUCUAUAAAGGAUACACCAGUUUAGUUGAUAGCAUGAAUGCAUCAUUUUUAGGACAAUUCUAUUAUAUUUUUUUCAAACCUUGUUUUUUCAAUGGAGAUUUCCAUCCUUGAAAUUCCAAGGACUGUUGUCAAUUCUAAGAUAUGGCAUCCUACUGAAUUUGACUUCUACUUGUAGCCAUGCAAGCAUUCAAGUAACUCAUCUCACAACUAAUACCUUUUGUAUGAUGUACUUAUUUAGGUAAUUGUUGUAAAAAUAUAUAUGUAUUUAUUAUUCUUUCAGAACAAGUUUUUUCAUACGUAUAAUAGUGUAUUUCUUUUGAUAUCAAUAGGUUGUUGAUCUCCUAGUACCUUAUCAAAAGGGUAGAAACAUUGGAUUUUUAUUUCUUGUUUUUAUUUUUGGUAGAAAGUAAUAAAGGAAAUAAUGCCUUCUAGUUUUAAGUCUGAAAUUUAUUUCUUGUUUUUAUUUUUGAUUUCUCUUGCAUGGCAUAAUGUUUUCUGCUUGAUUUUUUUGUUGGAGCAGCUCAUGCUAUCCGAUGGUUUUGGAAGAAGAGAAACAAAAUACCAAAAUGAAAUCUUUCAUUUUAAAACUUCAUUCUUCUUGCAUUUAUAGUCUCCAGCUUUUCUUGGUGUUUAGAACAAAAGUGAAAAACUAGUUCAGCAAGCCUAUCAUUGGAUUAAGGUAUUAUUAAUUUCCCCACUGUUAAAAAUUGUUAAAAGACAACGGAUUUUAUCCUUCCACAAUCAGGAUUCGUUCUCUGGUUGACAAUCAGAAACUGAGAUUGAAGCGGCAGAUAUUGAAUACUAUUUUAGGUACCUUAAUAUCUGUAAGGUAAUUUUUUCAGGCAGUUAAUAAUUUAAAUUGUUUCUGCUGUAGCAUGGAUAAUCUCUAUAAGGACAUUUUUCUUCGUGGCAAGAUGGAUGAUCAAGGUUGGGUUCCCAUCUCAUUGAUUGCUACCUUUAACAUGGUCAAAAGGGUGACAACGAGCACAGCGAUGAUAUUGAAUGCUCUAAGAGAUUCGACAGAACUUGAAAUAUAGAGAAAAUUAGAAGAUGAGAGGAUUGGAUGAGAUGGUUACUGCCCUCGAUGGAAAAUCCAAAUGGUCAUGGUUCCACGCCUCACUUGACAUUGAACCAUGAUGAUUCAGUCAUUCACCCCAUGUAGACUCUCGGAUUAGAGGAAUCUUCCAGCCAGGCUACCAUGAGUCGUACUCAAACUGAGGUAGCACUUGAUAAGGGAUCAACAUCCUGUAGCUGCAAUAGCCAGCAGGGUAGAGAUCCAGCUCAACUAGAAGAACUUUGUCGCAGCAGUUCAGAUCAUGAAAUAGGCAGUGAUUGAAUCAUCAUGAAAUAGUCUUUUGGCUAUUGUUCAUUAGUUGUAAAUAAAAUUUAUUUGUUUAUUUAUAUUGGGAUAAAUUUUAUUUGAACAUGAGAUAUGUUUCUUCUUUUGUGAUUAUAAUUCUUGUAUAACUAACAUUUUGA